CCAAUUUUAUAUGUUAGUUUGCCUGUGGCUUCUGUCACUGGUAUUAACUACUAUGUAAACGUUGAACUAGAUCAAUUGGUGUGGAUUGCUUGGGAAUGGACGAAGCGAUGAGCCUCUUCCGGACAGGCAAGCCCCACACUGAUAACCUUUUUCAUAUAUCAUUUACUCGUACAUACUACAAACAACAACAACAAAUCUUAUACUAAUAGGACUUAUUAACGGCUGAGUGGGUAACAUCCUCGGCUUAUACAUAUAACUAUUA
rnacentral:misc_RNA from 1 species